UACGUAGGUGGCAAGCGUUGUCCGGAUUUACUGGGCGUAAAGGGCGUGCAGGCGGUCUGUUAAGUUCAGGGUGAAAGCUCCCGGCUCAACUGGGAGAGGUCCUUGGAUACUGGCAGACUUGAGGAGGGUAGAGGAGAGUGGAAUUCCCGGUGUAGUGGUGAUAUGCGUAGCUAUCGGGAGGAACACCAGUGGCGAAGGCGGCUCUCUGGGCCCUACCUGACGCUGAGACGCGAAAGCGUGGGGAGCGAACCGG
rnacentral:rRNA from 1 species